CUUCCAUGGAGACUCUUGAAGCAUGAAAUCCUGGCAAAAAUCUUUCAAUGUUAGUUGAACUGUUCUUCUCCAUCGCAAAUCACAGACUCAAUUCCAUUUAGUGUCUACAUAUUCGUUCUCUCUCUAAAACCCUAGACCCAAAACACUUUCUUCGUUUCUCUCAGCCUCACUAAAUCAUUCCUAUUGCGCCCCAAUCACAAACUCACUCACCAAUAACCUCCUUAACCUCUCUGUUAUUUCAAUUUUCUUCAAUUUUCUUCAAUUUCUCUUCAUACAUCACCACACUACUUCACAUCCAUAACCAUUUAAAGAUUCGUUGACGCCUUUUGCUACCACCCAUCUGUUCACUCUAGAAGCCCUAACACCACCGUACCACCCAUUCCCUUUGAAAGCACACCUACUCUUGAGGGUCUUCUUCUUUCUCUCUCAUUUUACCCUAAUUUGAAAUCUGAAAAGCACACUCUCCUUUCUUUCACAAGAAAAUGCCAACUGCAUGACAGAUCAACACCAUCGCUGUUGUUGCUGUUUCAUACUAUCGUCGGCUACUUCCCUUUUGUGGUUACCAGUGUUUUAACCUAUCCAUGCUCUAAGUACCAUGGAUGGAGAUUGUUUAUUUCAUAAUCGGUAGUUGUUGGUCACCACAACCACAAAACCCUAUCGGCUGCAUUCCUCACAAACGCUUCUCCAUUCACCGCAUCUGUCUCCAUUGCUCUCGAUCUAUAAAUCAUAUAGAAAACACUAGAACCACACUUGCUUACUACCAGCAUCGCCACUCUCCACCUCUGUCACCACUUUUGGAGCACCUCACCAUCGUCUCUAGAGAUUUGAAGAAAAAAAAAUGGAUGGCAUAGCAGAUGAGGUUUAUUGGAGAAAAGCUAAUGAAAUCCUACUAGAGGUAUCUACACCCACCCUUGCCACCAUUUCUCUCUUCUUUCUCUUUAAUUCUCAAUUCUAUCAUCAAAAUGAUUCUCUGUUGUUAACUGUAAUUUCGACUUCAGGUAAGGUAAGUUUUGAUUUUUUCUUUGUUUAAUUUUGUUUUUGAUUUCUAUUUCUGAUACACUAGGUUUUGAUUUUAGAAAAGAAUUUGGUUUUGACUUUUGAAACCCCAGGGAAGGUUAUGUUAUUUAAUUUUUUUUUUUUUUUUGUGAUUUUGAACCAAUUUUUUUGUUUGAUUUGACUUUUGAAACAAUGUGAGUCUCAAGAAAUCAGUUUAAUGCAUAUUAGAUUUUGAGUUCAAAUCUAAAGUUCCAGGAAACUCCUUAAGAACAAAUAGAUCCAAAGACAUUUUACAUUAUGGAAAUCAUUAUUAAGAGUAUAUGAUAUCGCUUUCAACAUGAAAGAGUGAUACAUCCAAAUUGACAAUAUGGUAAUUUGCUUAGAAUUUGGAACAAAUCAUGCUAAAAUGAUUUUUAAUUCUUAUUUUUGUAUUAGCCACUUCCAGUUUUUGAGUGCACGUGAAGGGGGAGUUGAAUUCCAUUGGAAUUCACAAAAUUGUACCAGUAAUAGAGUUCAACUUUCCUUGCAUCACUCAUGCAAUGCAACUCCAAUCUUCCCUGAUUUCUAUAGGCGACUAAAAUAUCCUUUUUAACCCUAUUAUUAAUAUUGUAGUUUGUUGGUUUUUUUUCGUUUCUUCUUUUCAUUAUUUGUUUAAUAUCUUUCCUAAAAAAUUAAAACGUGAGCACACAAAAUAUUAUGAAGUUGCCUUGGAAAUUAAAACUUGUGGGUGUGUUAAAUAGUACAGAAUAAUCAAAACUAAAGGGGUGUAACUGUCAUAUUAGCAUUUGAAUACACAAAGUAUUGUUAAACUAGAGUUGAAUAUAUCUUAUUCACACUUAUACUCCCAGAAUGCAGUGUAAAAAGGGGUAGUUUACAUCAUCCAAGGCCAAUUAUGAUGAAACAUGCUUAGCUUCUUCAGAUUGGAACAACGAUGUUGGCCAAGAAAAGAAACAUUGUGCCUCUUGUAAAGAUGUUUUUUUUUUGGUAAAACCAGGUUCUGAUAAGAGAAAAUCGGUUUCAAGUGAAGGUUAUGUUAAGGAAAUUAUGUAUUCCUAUGGUUUACUCUCCUUUUUCAUACCCUACCUCUUAAAUUUCAUUUUCUGUUUUUUUUGGAUAAUUGCAAGAAAUAGCAAUGUAGUUUUUUUAUUGUAAUACUAUACCUUGAGUGGCUAUGUGUUUGUUUGCUUGUGAUUCUUUACUGUAUAUUUCGUUGUGUUUAUGGGGAAAAAUUAUGUGGUGUUUUUCUGAUUAGUAAAAUGGUUGAAGUAUACUGCUGCCAAAUUA